GCAAAGCUCAGGUGUGUGCAAUGUUCUUCCACAUGUACAGAUACACUCUCUCGUCAAGUUUAUCUGCAUUGAGGCUGACUUCUGCUAAUAGUAAACAGACAUUGAAUUUUCCUGGAAUAAAAGAUUAAAGAACUACUAUAUAUUUUACCUAUCAAGACUUUCAUCACAAGUUCACUUCUGCAGGUGAACCUGAACUCCACUUUCAUGACUAAUGACAACAUUUUGAUCAAAGGCAAGGCCCAUUAUGAGGGCAAGAUAAUGACGUUGAUGCUAAGGAGGCUUUCUCCAUGGGGCUCCAGGGCUUUAAUAGAGUCCACCCUCCCCCUCCAACGCUGGCUUGUUGACAGCUCAACAGACAUGGCACCAUUCUCAGAAACAAGGAAUUAUAGUGAACUGCAAAGAAAUACAAGCAGUUGUUUGAAAAUAUUAAAAACAAUUAUUUGGAUUGGUUGCUGACUGCCAAAGCUUCCUUUAUGUUUGAAUUUGGUACCCAUGGUAUGAGUGAGAGGCAAAUCUCACCUUCUCUUCCUGUUUUAGACUUGCUCAGUACAGGAACUGUGCAUCACAUGACAAACUCCUUUGGCCAUGUGACUGCCUCUUGUGGUUUGAGUAGUCAUUACAUCAUCCCCACAGUAGACAACAAAACAACUUAUUUGUUUAUUUUGUUUUAAACCACUAAAGUUUUUGUUAUACCACAACAAAGUCUCAAAUUCCAUUGUGUAAAUUCCUUCUUAUAAUUUCAUUUUCGUAAUGUUUUCUGUGAAGCCAUAGUCUUCUAUUCAAUAAUGUCUAGUUGAGCAUUAGUGUAGAAGGCUGAUUCAAGGGUACAGCUAGGAGGAAGUCAUGUAGAUUCAUUUUCCAGCACAUUCUUUCAAUUUAUUUAUUUUUUAAUUUGGCUACUUCAAAAGCCACCUCUGUAGAGGAUGGUGUCAAAUCUGGCUCAGGACAAAAGUGAAUUAAAUGUGUUGGUCUCCAUAUCCAGGUGACACUAAUCCAUGUCACAAAGCCACCACACAAUUCGGUACAAUUUUUAGUUUUUGAUUGAGACCAGGGUCUGAUGGCAGGU